UCUGAGCUGUCAGCACCGAACCCGACGCAGGGCCCGACCCCGCGAACUGCGAGAUCAUGACCUGAGCCAAAGUUGGAUGCCCAACCGAUUGAGCCACCCAGGCGCCCCAUGGAAUCAAUUUCAUUUGAAAUUCCAUCCUUUAUCUGAUCUCGUGAGGAGUUCUAGAAUCUAAAAAACUCAGGUCUGUCCUAGUUAAAGAAAGAAAGCUGAGCUUUUGUUACCCCUUACCAAGUAUUUACUGGUGGUGAGCUGCUGUGGAAGAGGCAGCGCAGUACAAUUCUCUAGGACUUCGAGAUCUCCGUAAAAACAAGUGCCCAAGAGUAUCCUCUGAAGAAAGAUGGUUGUCAGUUGAAAAGGACUGGUGGAUUUCAUGGAAAGUGCUGGUUAUCCUGAUCUUUUGUUUUGGGGUAUGAGGAAAAGUUACUGAAAACACAUUUCCCAUCAUGCAUGGCUCCAUCCUUCACCCUUUUUUCAACAGGAGGAGUGAUUUAUCUGCCUUGUCCAGAAUAAGCGCAUUAACUCCGGAUUGUCUUCUUUAAUAAUAGAAGUAUGAAAAGAAAACGGGCACAGGACUAUCCAAUCAACUUAGUCUACUCUUCACUUCCUCAGAAAACUGGAUAGCAAGUUGGAGAAUCACUCCAGAUUUUUUCAUAUACCCUAGGAAAAAAAACCUCCUCUGCUCUUUCCUUACACAGUUGGACUCUGGAGUUCCCCAAUGUGCAUCCAAGUACUAAACCUAGAAACUUGCUAAAGAAUAUGCGGUGGCACCUGUCUCCAGUCCUCCUGCAUUGGUAAUGUUAUUUACUUAAAGGAGAUUGGUGUUGGAAUACAAUACACAUGAUUUGUUAGUAAUCAGACAUUAAGCAAAUUACUUAACCUCUUUAAGGUUCAUGUGUAAGAUGGAGAUGAUAUCACCUAUCUAUAGAGCUGUUGUGUUAUAAGGUGAUACACGCAAAUUGAUUGGCACAGUGGCUGGCAAAUAGCAAGUUUUAUUUUUAUCUCCCUGUAUUUUCUCUUAUCUUGCCUUAUCGCAGUACUGUUAUAAAUGGACAGCUAUGGAUAAUAUACCUUUUUUUAAGGAGAAAAUAAAGGCAUUACCUCUUGACUUUUUAAUAUCUAUUGAUCUUGACUUCAGUCUUUAACCAAGUAUUCAGUGGACUAAAGCAGUUCUGUCCCUCUCCACGGCUUUCUGGCUUUUGUGCUAUCUCUCCAUAGUAUAUUACAACCAGAAAGAGCGUUGGAGUUAUUGUGCAGAUGAAGAAGCAGACAACUGAAAAGAUGAGGCGGCUUGCUCGAGGUUAUUCAGUGAGGUAGUAACAAGGCUGAAAUUACAUUCUAUUCUAGUCUACCUUUCACUUUCCCAUCCAAACUAAUAAAAGAAAAUAAAGGAAUGUACACAUUUCUCUGGUUAGUUUCCUGCUAAUUUCUUAGGUAAAACCACAACAAGAAUUUAAACAAAAAUUUAAAAAAUAAGGAUAAUAAAUACAAAAUGGAAAAAGGUGUGUUUUCCUGACUUUUUCUUAGCUCCAGAUAAUGUACUUACAUAUCAAGUCUAGAGUUUCACGAGCAGGGGACAUACACGCUAAUAACUGUGGGUGGAUUUCAGAAAUCAGUGUAAAACUAGUUUAUUGAGUCCAAAUAUCUCUAAAAACCAAUA